GAUGAACGCUAGCGGCAGGCCUAACACAUGCAAGUCGAGGGGCAUCGCGGUGCAGCAAUGCACUGGCGGCGACCGGCGUACGGGUGCGUAACGCGUAUGCAACCUGCCCCGCACCGGGGGAUAGCCCGCCGAAAGGCGGAUUAAUACCCCAUGGUCCCGGGGGCCCGCAUGGGCAUCCGGGUAAAGCCUUGGCGGUGCGGGAUGGGCAUGCGUGCCAUUAGCUGGCUGGUGGGGUAACGGCCCACCAGGGCAACGAUGGCUAGGGGGUCUGAGAGGAUGGUCCCCCACACUGGUACUGAGACACGGACCAGACUCCUACGGGAGGCAGCAGUGAGGAAUAUUGGUCAAUGGGCGGAAGCCUGAACCAGCCAUGCCGCGUGCGGGAUGAAGGCCCUACGGGUUGUAAACCGCUUUUCCCCGGGAAGAAUAACCCCGAUGAGUCGGGUGAUGCCGGUACCGGGGAAUAAGGAUCGGCUAACUCCGUG
rnacentral:rRNA from 1 species